ACACUUUCAUUUGGUCGGCGCGCAGCCUAUAUUGAGUCUGCCGGCGCAAGUCGGCUAUGGCGAUAAAUGGCCAUCGGAAUAAGCCGAUCGGACCCGGGGGCGGUACCCGGCGCCUCCACCAUCAGCUCAUCAGAACGGCGUGCGGAUGCCAGGGGUGAGCUGCUGAUGGGGGCGAAAUAGCAUCGACGAAGGUGUAAAGGGUGUGUUUUCGCUCGGUAUGGUUCCACCGUUAUCGGACCGCACAGAAUAGUUGCCAAUGACAACUAUGCUGAGGCUGCUCUCGCUGCGUAAUGCGGCGCGAAAUGCCUAAAUCCAAGCCCUUGCCCCUAGCCGGGUAAGGCGCGGUCCGGGGGGCACCGGGCAACAGAAGCCCCCUACU
rnacentral:tmRNA from 1 species